rnacentral:hammerhead_ribozyme from 1 species
AGCCAGCUGACAAGUCCCAAAUAGGACUAAACGCGUGUCCUAGAU